rnacentral:rRNA from 1 species
GAUGAACGCUGGCGGCGUGCUUAACACAUGCAAGUCGAACGAAGCACUUUAUUUGAUUUCCUUCGGGACUGAUUAUUUUGUGACUGAGUGGCGGACGGGUGAGUAACGCGUGGGUAACCUGCCUUGUACAGGGGGAUAACAGUUGGAAACUGCUGCUAAUACCGCAUAAGCGCACAGCAUCCCAUGAUGCAGUGUGAAAAACUCCGGUGGUAUAAGAUGGACCCGCGUUGGAUUAGCUAGUUGGUGAGGUAACGGCCCACCAAGGCGACGAUCCAUAGCCGACCUGAGAGGGUGACCGGCCACAUUGGGACUGAGACACGGCCCAAACUCCUACGGGAGGCAGCAGUGGGGAAUAUUGCACAAUGGGCGAAAGCCUGAUGCAGCGACGCCGCGUGAGCGAAGAAGUAUUUCGGUAUGUAAAGAUCUAUCAGCAGGGAAGAUAAUGACGUUACCUGACUCAGAAGAACCGGCUAAAUAAGUG